AGAGCCACACAGAACUGCACUUGCACCGCUACCACACAAUUGGCUGAUCAGAUAAUUGCAUGAAUAAGUAUGAAAAAGUGAGUGUACAUAGGUGGAAAGUACACCAUUUGUAAACAAAUACGCCCAAACUAUUGCAUUGCAUAAAAGGAGGUGAUUUUAUCAUUGAGGCCACAGUGGCUCACCUUGACGCUCCAACCAUGAAUAACAUAUAUUUUGUGGUUUUCCUGAUUGCUGGCAUCCAAGUCACAGGCAAUGAAGCGUGGAAAAAUUCUUAUGAUGCACCACUAAAUUUUAAGUGUCCCACAGGACACUCAAUUUCUGAGAUUACCAGCCAACAUCACAAUGGUUAUGAAGAUCGCCGCUGGGAUUUAAGGUGCAAGAGAAGUCCUCCCUCCACUUCGUGUUUCUGGACUGGUUAUGUCAAUGGAUUUGAUCAUCCAUUCCACUACAGCUGUCCAGAUAAUUACAUUAUUUCAGGAAUGUCAAGCUAUCAUCAAAACCGGCAAGAAGAUCGAAGAUGGAAAUUCUACUGCUGCAGAGUAAACAACUACUGCAGCCAUUACUGCUACUGGACACCCUACGUGAACACCUUUGAUGAGCGAUUCACUUGGCAUGUUCCACACAAUCACAACCUGGUUGGAGUUGGAAGCUACCAUAACAAUAGGGCUGAAGAUCGUCGCUGGCGGUUUAGGUACUGUGCAAGAACUUGUUGAAUCCUUUUGAUUAAAGGGAUCGAACCAAAAGAAGAAAUUACACGAAUCAUAGAAAAAUAUAUAGUUUCAAUUGUACCAUAUAUGGUCUUAAUUCAAAAAUAAAUGAAUAAACAUAGAGUAGUAUGCAUUAAAA